UACGUAGGGCGCAAGCGUUGUCCGGAAUUAUUGGGCGUAAAGCGCACGCAGGCGGUCUGCUAAGUUUGGAGUGACAGUUGGUGGCUUAACUGCCAAAGUGCUUCGAAAACUGACAGACUUGAGGGCUUCAGAGGGACACGGAAUUCCGGGUGGAGUGGUGAAAUGCGUAGAGAUCCGGAGGAACACCAAAGGCGAAGGCAGUGUCCUGGGGAGUACCUGACGCUCAGGUGCGAAAGCCAGGGGAGCGAACGGG
rnacentral:rRNA from 1 species